AGAAAAGAGCCUGGUACCUACUGCCAGGUCUACUUUGACAAUUGGGCCACCAUUGUAAUCUUCACCAGAUUUCAUGAUGAUGAGCCUCCCUGAUACUUACCAGCCAAACAGAACAAAACUGAUUUCUCUUGGCCUUCGGAUUCUUCAUCAUCACUGUUGUCAGAAAAUUGGCAGUGGAGGACUUCAUCUUGUUCUUCUAUGUGACCCA